rnacentral:rRNA from 1 species
GGGCGAAAGCCCGAUGCAGCAACGCCGCGUGAGGGAUGACGGCCUUCGGGUUGUAAACCUCUUUUAGCAAGGAAGAAGCGAAAGUGACGGUACUUGCAGAAAAAGCGCCGGCUAACUACGUGCCAGCAGCCGCGGUAAUACGUAGGGCGCAAGCGUUAUCCGGAAUUAUUGGGCGUAAAGAGCUCGUAGGCGGUUUGUCGCGUCUGCUGUGAAAACUGGAGGCUCAACCUCCAGCCUGCAGUGGGUACGGGCAGACUAGAGUGCGGUAGGGGAGAUUGGAAUUCCUGGUGUAGCGGUGGAAUGCGCAGAUAUCAGGAGGAACACCGAUGGCGAAGGCAGAUCUCUGGGCCGUAACUGACGCUGAGGAGCGAAAGGGUGGGGAGCAAACAGGCUUAGAUACCCUGGUAGUCCACCCCGUAAACGUUGGGAACUAGUUGUGGGGACCAUUCCACGGUUUCCGUGACGCAGCUAACGCAUUAAGUUCCCCGCCUGGGGAGUACGGCCGCAAGGCUAAAACUCAAAGGAAUUGACGGGGACCCGCACAAGCGGCGGAGCAUGCGGAUUAAUUCGAUGCAACGCGAAGAACCUUAUCAAGGCUUGACAUAUACGAGAACGCUGCAGAAAUGUAGAACUCUUUGGACACUCGUAUACAGGUGGUGCAUGGUUGUCGUCAGCUCGUGUCGUGAGAUGUUGGGUUAAGUCCCGCAACGAGCGCAACCCUCGUUCUAUGUUGCCAGCACGUAAUGGUGGGAACUCAUGGGAUACUGCCGGGGUCAACUCGGAGGAAGGUGGGGAUGACGUCAAAUCAUCAUGCCCCUUAUGUCUUGGGCUUCA